rnacentral:rRNA from 1 species
UAAAAACCCCGACUUCGGAAGGGGUGUAUUUAUUAGAUACAAAACCAAUGCCCUUCGGGGCUCUUUGGUGAUUCAUGAUAACUAUACGAAUCGCACGGCCUUGCGCCGGCGAUGGUUCAUUCAAAUUUCUUCCCUAUCAACUUUCGAUGUUUGGGUAUUGGCCAAACAUGGUUGCAACGGGUAACGGAGGGUUAGGGCUCGACCCCGGAGAAGGAGCCUGAGAAACGGCUACUACAUCCAAGGAAGGCAGCAGGCGCGCAAAUUACCCAAUCCCGACUCGGGGAGGUAGUGACAAUAAAUACUGAUACAGGGCCCUUUCGGGCCUUGUAAUUGGAAUGAGUACAAUUUAAAUCCCUUAACGAGGAACAAUUGGAGGGCAAGCCUGGUGCCAGCAGCCGCGGUAAUUCCAGCUCCAAUAGCGUAUAUUAAAGUUGUUGUGGUUAAAAAGCUCGUAGUUGAACCUUGGGCCUGGCUGGCCGGUCCGCCUCACCGCGUGCACUGGUCCGGCCGGGCCUUUCCCUCUGUGGAACCCCAUACCCUUCACUGGGCGUGGCGGGGAAACAGGACAUUUACUUU